GUGAAAUUGUUGAAAGGGAAGCGCUUGCAACCAGACUUGCACGCUGUUGAUCAUCCAGGCUUCUGUUUGGUGCACUCAACUGCGUUCAGGCCAGCAUCGGUUUUGGUGGUGGGAUAAAGGCCUUGGGAAUGUAGCUUCUUUCGGGGAGUGUUAUAGCCCUCGGUGCAAUGCCGCCUACCGGGACCGAGGACCGCGCUUCGGCUAGGAUGCUGGCGUAAUGGUUGUAAGCGACCCGUCUUGAAACACGGACCAAGGAGUCUAACAUCUAUGCGAGUGUUUGGGUGUCAAACCCAUACGCGUAAUUAACGUGAACGGAGGUGAGAACCCUUAAGGGUGCAUCAUCGACCGAUCCUGAUGUCUUCGGAUGGAUUUGAGUAAGAGCAUAGCUGUUGGGACCCGAAAGAUGGUGAACUAUGCCUGAAUAGGGUGAAGCCAGAGGAAACUCUGGUGGAGGCUCGCAGCGGUUCUGACGUGCAAAUCGAUCGUCAAAUUUGGGUAUAGGGGCGAAAGACUAAUCGAACCAUCUAGUAGCUGGUUCCUGCCGAAGUUUCCCUCAGGAUAGCAGUGUUGAAUUCAGUUUUAUGAGGUAAGGCGAAUGAUUAGAGGCCUUGGGGUUGCAACAACCUUAACCUAUUCUCAAACUUUAAAUAUGUAAGAAGUCCUUGUUACUUAAUUGAACGUGGACAUUCGAAUGUACCAACACUAGUGGGCCAUUUUUGGUAAGCAGAACUGGCGAUGCCCGAUGAACCGAACGUGAAGU
rnacentral:rRNA from 1 species